CUGGCGGCGUGCUUAACACAUGCAAGUCGAACGCGAAAGGGGACUUCGGUCCUGAGUAAAGUGGCGCACGGGUGAGUAACGCGUAGAUAACCUGUCUUCAUGUCUGGAAUAAUACGCCAAAGGGGUACUAAUACCGGAUAUUCUUGCUUUUCAUAAGUUAUGCAAGCAAAGGUGGCCUCUGCAUAUGCUACUGCAUGAAGAGGGGUCUGCGUACCAUUAGCUAGUAGGUGGGGUAAUGGCCUACCUAGGCGACGAUGGUUAGCGGGUCUGAGAGGAUGAUCCGCCACACUGGCACUGGAACACGGGCCAGACUCCUACGGGAGGCAGCAGUGAGGAAUAUUGCGCAAUGGGGGAAACCCUGACGCAGCGACGCCGCGUGAGUGAGGAAGGCCUUCGGGUCGUAAAGCUCUGUCAAGAGGAAAGAAGUGUACAAUGGCUAAUACCUGUUGUAUUUGACGGUACCUCUAAAGGAAGCACCGGCUAACUCCGUGCCAGCAGCAGC
rnacentral:rRNA from 1 species